rnacentral:rRNA from 1 species
AGUGAACGCUGGCGGUAGGCCUAACACAUGCAAGUCGAACGGCAGCACAGUAAGAGCUUGCUCUUACGGGUGGCGAGUGGCGGACGGGUGAGGAAUACAUCGGAAUCUACUUUUUCGUGGGGGAUAACGUAGGGAAACUUACGCUAAUACCGCAUACAACCUACGGGUGAAAGCAGGGGAUCUUCGGACCUUGCGCGAUUGAAUGAGCCGAUGUCGGAUUAGCUAGUUGGCGGGGUAAAGGCCCACCAAGGCGACGAUCCGUAGCUGGUCUGAGAGGAUGAUCAGCCACACUGGAACUGAGACACGGUCCAGACUCCUACGGGAGGCAGCAGUGGGGAAUAUUGGACAAUGGGCGAAAGCCUGAUCCAGCCAUACCGCGUGGGUGAAGAAGGCCUUCGGGUUGUAAAGCCCUUUUGUUGGGAAAGAAAAGCAGCAGGUUAAUACCCCGCUGUUCUGACGGUACCCAAAGAAUAAGCACCGGCUAACUUCGUG